UCUAAUUACCCAGGCGCAGAGGCUGAUUAACUCGUAAAUUUGUGUGCGUUCAUCAGCUUCUUCUCAUUUUUCCGUGAGUAUGGAGUCAAAACUACCGCACCAAAUGU